rnacentral:lncRNA from 10 species
GCCUUUCUUAAACUGCCGGAGCAUGACCAGGAAGGGUCAGCUUUGAUUCUGGUCUCUCUUUUCACCCUUUUAUUUGAAUGCCAUGAGGACAUUUCCCUAUCAGGUUGUUAGGCUAACAAGUCUCAUCUCACUAAAUCAUGCCACAGAUGCGAAGUUUCAGUUUAAUUUGAAUCCUGGUACUGUGCUUAUGGAGAUGAACUCUUCACUUGAACCUCAAACAUUUGGGAACCAUAAUAACACCAUCUCGGCAGGAAGAUAAAGGCUGGACAGGCAGGAGCUGGGAAGGAACCUCCCGACCACCCGGUUGAACAUGAUCCCUUCCCACCCCGCCACGCCUGGGCCUGGCUUGAUCUUAGAGCACUUAGACCCUGGUGGUAGUAUCCGUCUGCCAGAGACCAGAGAGAAAAGUCAGAGGUUUCAGCUGCAAAGACCAACUCUCUCAACAAACAUUAAUUCAGUGUGUGUUCCCUGAGCACCCACUCUGGCUGGGCACUGGACGUAGAAGAGUGAGCAGACAGAUGUGGUUGCUGCUCUCCGGGAACUUUAAUACCUGGGAUGAUAGCAACUGACUGUGUGUUUUGAUGGGGGUGAGUUGACCUGGAGUUGGGGGUGGCUGUGGGAACUGACCGUGGCUGGGCCCCAGUGUGAAUACUGUUCUUGUGACCCUAGAAGUGAGUCUUUCAGGCUUGUGCUUCCCUGGUGGGGCUCCCAGACAUGCAGAGAGGCUGCCUUUGGCUCAGUAUUUCGGGGCAGAGGGCGGUCUGGUUGUGAAUCAUUCCCUAGAGAACCAGGCUCUUAAAGGGAAACCAAAAUGAGUCCCUUGCAUAGGCGGUUUUCAGACUGAUGUGCAAACUCUUUUUACCAGUGCCACCUUCUGAAGAGUAGGAAGUUUCCCAGGCAGAGCUUGGGAAGCAUUAUUGAGCACCUACUGUGUGCCAGGCCCUUCCUUAGGCCCUUGGCUUCUCCUUACCUCAUUCAGAUCCAGAGAUCUUUUGUUUAUGCCGUCAUUAUCUCUUGCACGGCCCUAAUCCCCCAUUUAUCCAAGUCCUCCCGUUCUCAAGGCCUUAGAAGCCUCUACCAUGAAGCCCUCAUAUCUGAGGCUCAUAUCUUGUCUGCCCCUGCACCCUAUGGAUUUUAAAAAUUGUUCUCUCAAAGCAUCAUGUAUUUUGUCUCCCUUGUCUGUGAACUCCUGUGUGUAGAAGCUGUGCCACUUCUCUGGCUGCUUCUUAGUGGCUAUUGACGAGUGUACGCCAUAGUAUUUAUUAAUAGUAAGCAUGCCUUGAGGUUCUGCAGCCACUUCCCCUCUACCAAUAAACUUUGUAUUUUGGUGUGACUGAAAAGUUUCCUACUUAAAAUAUUAUGAAACUAAUAUAUGUUUGCUAUAAAAAGCCAAACCCAGCAUAAAGAUGGAUAAGGAAAAAAUCAAUUAUUUUGUGAGUCCCCCUUUUCAAUCCCAUCCCCCUGAAGUUACAGUGUCAACAGUAAAUGGUGAUUACCUCUAUGCCUUUCUUCAUGCAAAAACUUAAAUAAAAAUAUAGG